GCGGGGUUAGCUCAGCUGGUCAGAGCGCUACCCUUACAAGGUAGAAGUCGGGGGUUCGAGCCCCUCACCCCGCA
rnacentral:tRNA from 1 species